AGCGUACACGGUGGAUGCCCUGGCAGUCAGAGGCGAUGAAGGACGUGCUAAUCUGCGAUAAGCGUCGGUAAGGUGAUAUGAACCGUUAUAACCGGCGAUUUCCGAAUGGGGAAACCCAGUGUGAUUCGUCACACUAUCAUUAACUGAAUCCAUAGGUUAAUGAGGCGAACCGGGGGAACUGAAACAUCUAAGUACCCCGAGGAAAAGAAAUCAACCGAGAUUCCCCCAGUAGCGGCGAGCGAACGGGGAGCAGCCCAGAGCCUGAAUCAGUGUGUGUGUUAGUGGAAGCGUCUGGAAAGGCGCGCGAUACAGGGUGACAGCCCCGUACACAAAAAUGCACAUGCUGUGAGCUCGAUGAGUAGGGCGGGACACGUGGUAUCCUGUCUGAAUAUGGGGGGACCAUCCUCCAAGGCUAAAUACUCCUGACUGACCGAUAGUGAACCAGUACCGUGAGGGAAAGGCGAAAAGAACCCCGGCGAGGGGAGUGAAAAAGAACCUGAAACCGUGUACGUACAAGCAGUGGGAGCACAGAGCAAUCUGUGUGACUGCGUACCUUUUGUAUAAUGGGUCAGCGACUUAUAUUCUGUAGCAAGGUUAACCGAAUAGGGGAGCCGAAGGGAAACCGAGUCUUAACUGGGCGUUAAGUUGCAGGGUAUAGACCCGAAACCCGGUGAUCUAGCCAUGGGCAGGUUGAAGGUUGGGUAACACUAACUGGAGGACCGAACCGACUAAUGUUGAAAAAUUAGCGGAUGACUUGUGGCUGGGGGUGAAAGGCCAAUCAAACCGGGAGAUAGCUGGUUCUCCCCGAAAGCUAUUUAGGUAGCGCCUCGUGAAUUCAUCUCCGGGGGUAGAGCACUGUUUCGGCAAGGGGGUCAUCCCGACUUACCAACCCGAUGCAAACUGCGAAUACCGGAGAAUGUUAUCACGGGAGACACACGGCGGGUGCUAACGUCCGUCGUGAAGAGGGAAACAACCCAGACCGCCAGCUAAGGUCCCAAAGUCAUGGUUAAGUGGGAAACGAUGUGGGAAGGCCCAGACAGCCAGGAUGUUGGCUUAGAAGCAGCCAUCAUUUAAAGAAAGCGUAAUAGCUCACUGGUCGAGUCGGCCUGCGCGGAAGAUGUAACGGGGCUAAACCAUGCACCGAAGCUGCGGCAGCGACGCUUAUGCGUUGUUGGGUAGGGGAGCGUUCUGUAAGCCUGUGAAGGUGUACUGUGAGGUAUGCUGGAGGUAUCAGAAGUGCGAAUGCUGACAUAAGUAACGAUAAAGCGGGUGAAAAGCCCGCUCGCCGGAAGACCAAGGGUUCCUGUCCAACGUUAAUCGGGGCAGGGUGAGUCGACCCCUAAGGCGAGGCCGAAAGGCGUAGUCGAUGGGAAACAGGUUAAUAUUCCUGUACUUGGUGUUACUGCGAAGGGGGGACGGAGAAGGCUAUGUUGGCCGGGCGACGGUUGUCCCGGUUUAAGCGUGUAGGCUGGUUUUCCAGGCAAAUCCGGAAAAUCAAGGCUGAGGCGUGAUGACGAGGCACUACGGUGCUGAAGCAACAAAUGCCCUGCUUCCAGGAAAAGCCUCUAAGCAUCAGGUAACAUCAAAUCGUACCCCAAACCGACACAGGUGGUCAGGUAGAGAAUACCAAGGCGCUUGAGAGAACUCGGGUGAAGGAACUAGGCAAAAUGGUGCCGUAACUUCGGGAGAAGGCACGCUGAUAUGUAGGUGAAGCGACUUGCUCGUGGAGCUGAAAUCAGUCGAAGAUACCAGCUGGCUGCAACUGUUUAUUAAAAACACAGCACUGUGCAAACACGAAAGUGGACGUAUACGGUGUGACGCCUGCCCGGUGCCGGAAGGUUAAUUGAUGGGGUCAGCGCAAGCGAAGCUCUUGAUCGAAGCCCCGGUAAACGGCGGCCGUAACUAUAACGGUCCUAAGGUAGCGAAAUUCCUUGUCGGGUAAGUUCCGACCUGCACGAAUGGCGUAAUGAUGGCCAGGCUGUCUCCACCCGAGACUCAGUGAAAUUGAACUCGCUGUGAAGAUGCAGUGUACCCGCGGCAAGACGGAAAGACCCCGUGAACCUUUACUAUAGCUUGACACUGAACAUUGAGCCUUGAUGUGUAGGAUAGGUGGGAGGCUUUGAAGUGUGGACGCCAGUCUGCAUGGAGCCGACCUUGAAAUACCACCCUUUAAUGUUUGAUGUUCUAACGUUGACCCGUAAUCCGGGUUGCGGACAGUGUCUGGUGGGUAGUUUGACUGGGGCGGUCUCCUCCUAAAGAGUAACGGAGGAGCACGAAGGUUGGCUAAUCCUGGUCGGACAUCAGGAGGUUAGUGCAAUGGCAUAAGCCAGCUUGACUGCGAGCGUGACGGCGCGAGCAGGUGCGAAAGCAGGUCAUAGUGAUCCGGUGGUUCUGAAUGGAAGGGCCAUCGCUCAACGGAUAAAAGGUACUCCGGGGAUAACAGGCUGAUACCGCCCAAGAGUUCAUAUCGACGGCGGUGUUUGGCACCUCGAUGUCGGCUCAUCACAUCCUGGGGCUGAAGUAGGUCCCAAGGGUAUGGCUGUUCGCCAUUUAAAGUGGUACGCGAGCUGGGUUUAGAACGUCGUGAGACAGUUCGGUCCCUAUCUGCCGUGGGCGCUGGAGAACUGAGGGGGGCUGCUCCUAGUACGAGAGGACCGGAGUGGACGCAUCACUGGUGUUCGGGUUGUCAUGCCAAUGGCACUGCCCGGUAGCUAAAUGCGGAAGAGAUAAGUGCUGAAAGCAUCUAAGCACGAAACUUGCCCCGAGAUGAGUUCUCCCUGACUCCUUGA
rnacentral:rRNA from 1 species